rnacentral:lncRNA from 10 species
UUGGAGAUGCCAACACUCCUCUCCAUGUAACUGACAGAACAAGUAGACAGAAAAUCAGUAAGGAUAUUUAAGACCAAACGAGCUAUUUCUAUCCUAUUGCUCAAGGUCAUUGCCAAGGUCUGAUUUUUCACACAUGAAAUUGCAAUCUCAGGCAUACAUGGGUUGAUUUUGAUAAUAAAAUGUAAUCAUUUGUCAUAAACUUUGCAAGAAAGAUGCCUUGUGAAAUUUGUGGCCCCAGUGGGAGACGCAGGCCCACAAGCCAUAAGGUGAGGUGGGCCCAGCAAUAGUCCGGCCUGAGAUGGAAGUGGGUGUACCUGGGGCCGAGCCCCAGGAGCUGAAGGGCCCACAGUCUGCACACAGGCAGCCCGGAGCUCACGGCCUCCCCCUUCACUGCCCCCACCAUUCACUCACUGCAGCCACGAGGGGAACACCGCCAUUCUCGCUGAAGGAGGAGGAAACGUCUGAUGUGUGGGAGGGCUGGCUUGGACGUGGGCACCAGCUGCACUGCCACCUCCCUUGAGUGACCUUGAAAGACAGUAGGAGGGAAGGUCACCCAGUGGGCAGCGCUGGGGCAGAGGGCCUGUCCCACCACUUGCAUGGAAGGAGAAGCAGCCUGAGGGUGGAGUACACACUCACUGGCUGGGAAAAACGGCCUAUCUGGUUGGCCAGGAACCCACAAUGGAAACGAUUGGAAAAUCAAGGACAAGCAGUCCGGGGUGGCAGCAGGGGGGUGGCAGCCUGGGGUGGGCGUAAAGUCCGAGGGUAUCUGUAUCAUGCUCAUGCCCGGGGGAGUGUCCACUACGGCAGAUGCUCUAAGCCACUAAGCUGACAGAAUGAUUGGGGCCACUGUGGCCAGCCAGACUGUCCCCAGCCGCCCAGCCGACCUAUCAGUCAUAUGACUGACGUGACCAGGGAGCCAGCAGUGGAGACUGCAGCAGCAUAAGCUCCCGCUGACCAAGGCCACUGCCCAGCGACCUGCUCCCACCUAUCUGCCACAAAGGCCAAAGCUCAGCUUCCAAUGUGGCUCGUUCCUGG